GACGAACGCUGGCGGCGUGCUUAACACAUGCAAGUCGAGCGGUAAGGCCCUUUCGGGGGUACACGAGCGGCGAACGGGUGAGUAACACGUGGGUGACCUGCCCUCAGCUCUGGGAUAAGCCCGGGAAACUGGGUCUAAUACUGGAUAUUACUCUGCGGUGCAUGGCCGUGGGGUGGAAAGCCUUGUGCGGCUGGGGAUGGGCCCGCGGCCUAUCAGCUUGUUGGUGGGGUGAUGGCCACCAAGGCGACGACGGUAGCCGGCCUGGGAGGGCGACCGGCCACACUGGGACUGAGACACGGCCCAGACUCCUACGGGAGGCAGCAGUGGGGAAUCUUGCGCAAUGGCGAAAGCCUGACGCAGCGACGCCGCGUGAGGGAUGACGGCCUCGG
rnacentral:rRNA from 1 species